CCAAACCAGCCUACUCCCUCUCAAGAGCUCACAGCUGCAGGACUAGAGCCAGAUGUGCCCCGGCAAUAAGCAUCCACCCCGUGACACGUAGUGGUGGCUGAUGUCGCCACAGUACCAUGAGGUUAACAGGUCCUCCCUCCAGCUUCCCUCAUGGUGGCAGCCUAACCUGCAUUGCAGCCGUUCACCGGACACCGCACCAGACCCUCAAAACCCAUCCAAGACUGUGGGAGGAGUAAACAACCCAGCCCAGUUAAGAGGAGAUGCCGAAUUUAAUGAACCCUAUUUGAAUUGCAGGGCUGUGAUUCCUCUUACCUUUAACGUGAACUCACAGGCGGAUUAAAGUGAAAUAAAACCUACCAUUUGAGUUA
rnacentral:lncRNA from 1 species